UGUUUCGGCUAGGGGGCCAUCCCGGCUUACCAACCCGAUGCAAACUGCGAAUACCGGAGAAUGUUAUCACGGGAGACACACGGCGGGUGCUAACGUCCGUCGUGAAGAGGGAAACAACCCAGACCGCCAGCUAAGGUCCCAAAGUCAUGGUUAAGUGGGAAACGAUGUGGGAAGGCCCAGACAGCCAGGAUGUUGGCUUAGAAGCAGCCAUCAUUUAAAGAAAGCGUAAUAGCUCACUGGUCGAGUCGGCCUGCGCGGAAGAUGUAACGGGGCUAAACCAUGCACCGAAGCUGCGGCAGCGACACUAUGUGUUGUUGGGUAGGGGAGCGUUCUGUAAGCCUG
rnacentral:rRNA from 1 species